CCCUGUUAAGAAGGAAGAUUAAGAUGCAGAUUGUAACCAACAUCUAAGUCUCAAGGCAGCUGCAAAUUGUCCCACUAAUAAGAUCAUGGUACCUCAAACAGCAAGCAUGUACCAGGUCCUGCCUGUCCCUUUCAUGGUAUUCGAUUAAAUGCCUUCAAAGGGAGCAAAUGCCCUGGCUUCUUCAUGAAUGACUGGUUCUGCAGCGGUAAUGCACCAUGAAAUGAUGCCUGCAAAUGGCAGCUACCUAAUGAAAUGGCCAUAUACGAUGGGUGGAAAUAAAAACCUUACAAGGCUCAUUGAGCAUGUGGCUCACCGCAGCUUUUUGAUGCUGUUUCAAGCAAAGCAUUAAUAAAAACCCUGGCUACAGCUGACCACA